rnacentral:tRNA from 1 species
GUCUAACUCAGUCGGUACAACGCAAGGCUCUUAACCUUGAGAUUGUGGGUUUGAGCCCCACGGUGGACG